rnacentral:rRNA from 1 species
GUAGCUGGUCUGAGAGGACGACCAGCCACACUGGAACUGAGACACGGUCCAGACUCCUACGGGAGGCAGCAGUGGGGAAUUUUGGACAAUGGGGGCAACCCUGAUCCAGCAAUGCCGCGUGUGUGAAGAAGGCCUUCGGGUUGUAAAGCACUUUUGUUCGGAAAGAAAUCGCUCUGGCUAAUAUCCGGAGUGGAUGACGGUACCGGAAGAAUAAGCACCGGCUAACUACGUGCCAGCAGCCGCGGUAAUACGUAGGGUGCAAGCGUUAAUCGGAAUUACUGGGCGUAAAGCGUGCGCAGGCGGUUGUGCAAGACAGAUGUGAAAUCCCCGGGCUUAACCUGGGAACUGCAUUUGUGACUGCACGGCUAGAGUGUGUCAGAGGGGGGUAGAAUUCCACGUGUAGCAGUGAAAUGCGUAGAUAUGUGGAGGAAUACCGAUGGCGAAGGCAGCCCCCUGGGAUAACACUGACGCUCAUGCACGAAAGCGUGGGGAGCAAACAGGAUUAGAUACCCUGGUAGUCCACGCCCUAAACGAUGUCUACUAGUUGUCGGGUCUUAAUUGACUUGGUAACGCAGCUAACGCGUGAAGUAGACCGCCUGGGGAGUACGGUCGCAAGAUUAAAACUCAAAUGAAUUGACGGGGGCAAGGGCGAAUUCUGCAGAUAUCCAUCACACUGGCGGCCGCUCGAGC